AGGGCACCACAAGGAGUGGAGCCUGCGGCUUAAUUUGACUCAACACGGGAAAACUCACCCGGCCCGGACACUGGAAGGAUUGACAGAUUGAGAGCUCUUUCUUGAUUCAGUGGGUGGUGGUGCAUGGCCGUUCUUAGUUGGUGGAGUGAUUUGUCUGGUUAAUUCCGAUAACGAACGAGACUCUAGCCUACUAAAUAGAUCGUCGGCUUACAAACGCCGGCGAGACUUCUUAGAGGGACAGGCGGUGAUUCAACCGCACGAAACAGAGCAAUAACAGGUCUGUGAUGCCCUUAGAUGUCCGGGGCCGCACGCGCGCUACACUGAAGUGAUCAGCGUGCUUUUUCAACCUACUCUGUCAAGAGUGGGGAACCCAAUGAACCUUCUUCGUGAUUGGGAUAGGGGAUUGUAAUUGUUCCCCUUGAACGAGGAAUUCCCAGUAAGCGCGAGUCAUAAGCUCGCGUUGAUUACGUCCCUGCCCUUUGUACACACCGCCCGUCGCUACUACCGAUUGAAUGUUUU
rnacentral:rRNA from 1 species